rnacentral:rRNA from 1 species
AUUGAACGCUGGCGGCAGGCCUAACACAUGCAAGUCGAACGAGUGGCGGACGGGUGAGUAAUGUCUGGGCAACUGCCUGAUGGAGGGGGAUAACUACUGGAAACGGUAGCUAAUACCGCCUACCAUCGGAUGUGCCCAGAUGGGCUUAGCUAGUAGGUGGGGUAAAGGCUCACCUAGGCGACGAUCCCUAGCUGGUGUGAGAGGAUGACCAGACACACGGGAACGGAGACACGGUCCAGAGUCCUACGGGAGGCAGCAGUGGGGAAUAUUGGACAAGGGGCGCAAGCCUGAUGCAGCCAUGCCGCGUGUAUGAAGAAGGCCUUAGGGUUGUAAAGUACUUUCAGCGGGGAGGCGUUACCCGCAGAAGAAGCACCGGCUAACUCCGUGCCAGCAGCCGCGGUAAUUC